rnacentral:rRNA from 1 species
UAAUCUCAAAAAGCCGAUCGUAGUCCGGAUUGGAGUCUGCAACUCGACUCCAUGAAGUCGGAAUCGCUAGUAAUCGCGGAUCAGAAUGCCGCGGUGAAUACGUUCCCGGGCCUUGUACACACCGCCCGUCACACCAUGGGAGUUUGUUGCACCAGAAGUAGCUAGCCUAACUGCAAAGAGGGCGGUUACCACGGUGUGGCCGAUGACUGGGGUGAAGUCGUAACAAGGUAGCCGUAGGGGAACCUGCGGCUGGAUCACCUCCUUA